GCAAGUCGAACGGUAACAGGAAUUAGCUUGCUUUUGCUGACGACCGGCGCACGGGUGCGUAACGCGUAUGCAACCUACCUCAUACUGGAGGAUAGCCCCUGGAAACGGGGAUUAAUACUCCAUAGUAUCACAAUUUCGCAUGUUAUUGUGAUUAAAGUUUUUCGGUAUGAGAUGGGCAUGCGUCCCAUUAGCUUGUUGGUGAGGUAACGGCUCACCAAGGCAACGAUGGGUAGGGGGCCUGAGAGGGUGGUC
rnacentral:rRNA from 1 species